rnacentral:rRNA from 1 species
AUUGAACGCUGGCGGCAUGCUUUACACAUGCAAGUCGAACGGUAACAGGUUAAGCUGACGAGUGGCGAACGGGUGAGUAAUGCAUCGGAACGUGCCCGGUCGUGGGGGAUAACGCAGCGAAAGCUGCGCUAAUACCGCAUACGAUCUAAGGAUGAAAGCGGGGGACCGUAAGGCCUCGCGCGAUCGGAGCGGCCGAUGUCAGAUUAGGUAGUUGGUGGGGGAAAGGCUCACCAAGCCAACGAUCUGUAGCUGGUCUGAGGGGACGACCAGCCACACUGGGACUGAGACACGGCCCAGACUCCUACGGGAGGCAGCGGUGGGGAAUUUUGGACAAUGGGCGAAAGCCCGAUCCAGCAAGGCCGCGUGCAGGAAGAAGGCCUUCGGGUUGUAAACUGCUUUUGUACGGAGCGAAAAGGUCUCCUCUAAUACAGGGGGCUCAUGACGGUACCGUAAGAAUAAGCACCGGCUAACUACGUGCCAGCAGCCGCGGUAA